GAUGAACGCUGGCGGCGUGCCUAAUACAUGCAAGUCGAGCGAACAGACGAGUAUCUUGCUCCUCUGACGUUAGCGGCGGACGGGUGAGUAACACGUGGAUAACCUACCUAUAAGACUUGGAUAACUUUGGGAAACCGGAGCUAAUACCGGAUAAUAUAUUGAACCGCAUGGUUCAAUAGUGAAAGACGGUUUUGCUGUCACUUAUAGAUGGAUCCGCGCCGCAUUAGCUAGUUGGUAAGGUAACGGCUUACCAAGGCGACGAUGCGUAGCCGACCUGAGAGGGUGAUCGGCCACACUGGAACUGAGACACGGUCCAGACUCCUACGGGAGGCAGCAGUAGGGAAUCUUCCGCAAUGGGCGAAAGCCUGACGGAGCAACGCCGCGUGAGUGAUGAAGGUCUUCGGAUCGUAAAACUCUGUUAUUAGGGAAGAACAAAUGUGUAAGUAACUAUGCACGUCUUGACGGUACCUAAUCAGAAAGCCACGGCUAACUACGUG
rnacentral:rRNA from 1 species